rnacentral:rRNA from 1 species
AUUGAACGCUGGCGGCAUGCUUUACACAUGCAAGUCGAACGGCAGCUCGGGCUUCGGCCUGGCGGCGAGUGGCGAACGGUUGAGUAAUGCAUCUGAACUUGCCCUGACUUGGCGGAUAGCCCGGCGAAAGCCGGAUUAAUACCCCAUACGACCUGAGGUUGCAAGCGGGGGGCCGAAAGGCCUCGCGCCAUUGUAGCAGCCGAUGUCGGAUUCGCUAGGUGGUGGGGUAAAGGCUUACCAAGGCUACGAUCCGUAGCUGGUCUGAGAGGACGACCCGCCACACUGGGACUGAGACACGGCCCAGACUCCUACGGGAGGCAGCAGUGGGGAAUUUUGGACAAUGGAGGAGACCCUGAUCCAGCCAUGCCGCGGGCGGGAAGAAGGCCUUCGGGUUGUAAAGCGAUUUUGUUCGGGAAGAAGUCCUCUGGGCUAAUACCCCGGGGGGAUGACGGUACCGGAAGAAUAAGCACCGGCUAACUACGUG